GGCUUCGGCCGGAAAACCUGUGCAUGAGUGGCGGACGGGUGAGUAACGCGUGGGCAACCUGGCCUGUACAGGGGGAUAACACUUAGAAAUAGGUGCUAAUACCGCAUAACGGGGGAAGCCGCAUGGCUUUUCCCUGAAAACUCCGGUGGUACAGGAUGGGCCCGCGUCUGAUUAGCCAGUUGGCAGGGUAACGGCCUACCAAAGCGACGAUCAGUAGCCGGCCUGAGAGGGCGGACGGCCACACUGGGACUGAGACACGGCCCAGACUCCUACGGGAGGCAGCAGUGGGGGAUAUUGCACAAUGGGGGGAACCCUGAUGCAGCGACGCCGCGUGGGUGAAGAAGCGCCUCGGCGCGUAAAGCCCUGUCAGCAGGGAAGAAAAUGACGGUACCUGAAGAAGAAGCCCCGGCUAACUACGUGCCAGCAGCCGCGGUAAUACGUAGGGGGCAAGCGUUAUCCGGAUUUACUGGGUGUAAAGGGGGCGCAGACGGCGAUGCAAGCCAGGAGUGAAAGCCCGGGGCCCAACCCCGGGACUGCUCUUGGAACUGCGUGGCUGGAGUGCAGGAGGGGCAGGCGGAAUUCCUGGUGUAGCGGUGAAAUGCGUAGAUAUCAGGAGGAACACCGGUGGCGAAGGCGGCCUGCUGGACUGCAACUGACGUUGAGGCCCGAAAGCGUGGGGAAGCAACAGGAUUAGAUACCCUGGUAGUCCACGCCGUAAACGAUGAUUAC
rnacentral:rRNA from 1 species